rnacentral:rRNA from 1 species
GACGAACGCUGGCGGCGUGCCUAAUACAUGCAAGUAGAACGCACAGUUUAUACCGUAGCUUGCUACACCAUAGACUGUGAGUUGCGAACGGGUGAGUAACGCGUAGGUAACCUGCCUGGUAGCGGGGGAUAACUAUUGGAAACGAUAGCUAAUACCGCAUAAUAUUAAUUAUUGCAUGAUAAUUAAUUGAAAGGUGCAAUUGCACCACUACCAGAUGGACCUGCGUUGUAUUAGCUAGUAGGUGAGGUAACGGCUCACCUAGGCGACGAUACAUAGCCGACCUGGGGGGGUGAUCGGCCAACAUGGGACUGGGACACGGCCCAGACUCCUACGGGGAGCAGCAGUAGGGAAACUUCGGCAAUGGACGAAAGUCUGGCCGAGCAACGCCGCGUGGGUGAAGAAGGUUUUCGGAUCGUAAAGCUCUGUUGUAAGAGAAGAACGGGUGUGAGAGUGGAAAGUUCACACUGUGACGGUAUCUUACCAGAAAGGGACGGCUAACUACGUG